GAUGAACGCUGGCGGCGUGCCUAAUACAUGCAAGUCGAGCGAACAGACGAGGAGCUUGCUCCUUUGACGUUAGCGGCGGACGGGUGAGUAACACGUGGAUAACCUACCUAUAAGACUGGGAUAACUUCGGGAAACCGGAGCUAAUACCGGAUAACAUGUUGAACCGCAUGGUUCAACAGUGAAAGACGGUCUUGCUGUCACUUAUAGAUGGAUCCGCGCCGCAUUAGCUAGUUGGUAAGGUAACGGCUUACCAAGGCAACGAUGCGUAGCCGACCUGAGAGGGUGAUCGGCCACACUGGAACUGAGACACGGUCCAGACUCCUACGGGAGGCAGUAGUAGGGAAUCUUCCGCAAUGGGCGAAAGCCUGACGGAGCAACGCCGCGUGAGUGAAGAAGGUCUUCGGAUCGUAAAACUCUGUUAUUAGGGAAGAACAAAUGUGUAAGUAACUAUGCACGUCUUGACGGUACCUAAUCAGAAAGCCACGGCUAACUACGUG
rnacentral:rRNA from 1 species